UACGGAGGGGGCUAGCGUUGUUCGGAAUUACUGGGCGUAAAGCGCGCGUAGGCGGCUUUGUAAGUUAGAGGUGAAAGCCCGGAGCUCAACUCCGGAAUUGCCUUUAAAACUGCAUCGCUAGAAUCAUGGAGAGGUUAGUGGAAUUCCGAGUGUAGAGGUGAAAUUCGUAGAUAUUCGCAAGAACACCAGUGGCGAAGGCGGCUUACUGGUCCGGUUCUGACGCUGAGGCGCGAAAGCGUGGGGAGCAAACAGG
rnacentral:rRNA from 1 species